UACGGAGGGUGCAAGCGUUAUCCGGAUUUAUUGGGCGUAAAGCGCGCGUAGGCGGCUUGUUAAGCAAGAUCUUAAACCUGGGGGCUCAACCUUCAGUUGGAUUUUGAACUGGCAGGCUCGAGUUUGGUAGAGGAAAGUGGAAUUCCCAGUGUAGCGGUGAAAUGCGCAGAUAUUGGGAAGAACACCGAUGGCGAAGGCAGCUUUCUGGGCCAUAACUGACGCUGAGGUGCGAAAGCUAGGGGAGCAAACAGG
rnacentral:rRNA from 1 species